CCAUAGAAAUGCUAAAUGAACUACAACUUGGGAGACGGAUGGAGUAGCUUCAUGAAUUGAAGCAGCAGCACGUUGGAGGUUCGGAUCAUUAUUAUGCAGACAUUCAUUUUAUGAUCGGUAGAAAGCUCCGCAAGGUGGCUUCGAUUAUACUUUUUUUGCUCCCAGAAAGUAUUUUGUUAUAGUAUUCAAUCGCAGAGAAGUUCGUCGGAGGCGGGAAUUCAUGGAUCUCAAGGCCGGGUUCGUGUAGCUCGUGCUCAGAUCCACCGGAUCCUCUUAUUCCCCACCAUCCCUUACCAAGGAGAAGCAGCGCCCAGGCUUACCCAAUCAUGUCAACGCCGACAUGGUGGAGGAGCAAGUCGAAGCCCCAUGAUUCAUGGUGGGUAGGAGGCAAAUCCAAGGAGGAGGUGCCUGAUUCCACGAAAUCUGUGGAAGAUGGUGCAUGAGGGCAUGCACAACGAUUUGGACGGUUGUUGUUGGAAAGUCACGUAUAGACAGUGAAACCGACAGUUUGUACAAUGAUUUGACUUUUAAGUGUCUGCCAAGUUAUUUAAUUCAUUCAAAUCAAGGUGAUUAGAUAUAAAUAUGAUCUAUGUAUGCUAUUUUGUUUCAUGUUCACUCAAUGCAAUGCAUGCUGCCUCAUAUUAUGG
rnacentral:lncRNA from 1 species